GGGCGGAUAGUUCAGCUGGCUAGAACGCCUGCUCGACACGCAGGAGGUCACAGGUUCAAAUCCUGUUCCGCCCA
rnacentral:tRNA from 1 species